AUGGGUGAUGUUGAGAAAGGCAAGAAGGUUUUUAUUAUAAAGUGUUCCCAGUGCCACACCGUUGAAAAGGGAGGCAAGCACAAGACUGGGCCAAAUCUCCAUGGUGUCUUCGGGCGGAAGACAAGUCAGUCCCCUGGAUACUCUUACACAGCCGCCAAUAAGAACAAAGGCAUCAUCUGGGGAGAGGAUACACUGAUGGAGUAUUUGGAGAAUCCCAAGAAGUACAUCCCUGGAACAAAAAUGAUCUUUGUCGGCAUUAAGAAGAAGGAAGAAAGGGCAGACUUGAUAGCUUAUCUCAAAAAAGCUACUAAUGAGUAAUAAUUGGCCACUGCCUUAUUUAUUACAAAACAGAAAUGUCUCAUGACUUUUUUAUGUGUACCAUCCUUGAAUAGAUCUCAUACACCAGAAUUCAGAUCAUGAA